ACUUUCUCCCACCCGGGUGUGAGGGACUACUCCCAGCUCACCCUUGACCUGACUAGGAAUGAGCUUAUUGUGGGUGCAACAGAAUGGGCGCCGGACGUGGAGACCAGGAGAUCCUGUCAGAGCAAAGGCAAAACAGAGAUUGAAUGUCAGAACUACAUCAGGGUCCUGCUGGUGAACAAGACGGAGGUCAUGACCUGCGGAACCAACGCUUUCCAGCCGCUGUGCAUCACCCGGGAGGUGGGCAACAUGAGCAGCGUGCUGGAGCGCGUGAACGGCGUGGCGCGCUGCCCGUACGACCCGCGCCACAACUCCACGGCGGUGGUGACGGAGAGCGGCGAGCUGUACGCCGCCACGGUCAUCGACUUCUCCGGCCGCGACCCCGUCAUCUACCGCAGCCUGGGCGGCAUGCCGCCUCUCCGGACCGCCCAGUACAACUCAAAGUGGCUCAACGAGCCCCACUUCAUCUCGGCCUACGACAUCGGCCUCUUCACCUUCUUCUUCCUGCGGGAGAACGCCGUGGAGCACGACUGCGGCAAGACGGUGUACUCGCGCGUGGCGCGCGUCUGCAAGAACGACAUCGGCGGCCGCUUCCUGCUGGAGGACACGUGGACCACGUUCAUGAAGGCGCGGCUCAACUGCUCGCGCUCGGGCGAGAUCCCCUUCUACUACAACGAGCUGCAGAGCACCUUCUACCUGCCGGAGCAGGACCUCAUCUACGGCAUCUUCACCACCAAUGUCAACAGUAUUGCAGCGUCCGCAGUGUGUGCCUUCAACCUGAGCGCCAUCACCCAGGCUUUCAACGGGCCCUUCCGCUCGCAGGAGAACCCCCGCUCCACCUGGCUUCCCACGCCCAACCCCAUCCACAACUUCCAGUGUGGUACUAUAGACGAUCAGGGUCCCAACGAGGGUCUGACGGAGCGCAGCCUGCAGGACGCCCAGAGGCUCUACCUGAUGAACGACGUGGUCCAGCCGGAGUCUGUCGAUCCGCUGGUGAUGCAGGACGACGUUCGCUUCUCCAACCUGGUCGUGGACAUUGUCCAGGGCAUGGAGACGCUCUACCACGUUAUGUAUAUCAGCACAGAAUAUGGCACCAUCCUGAAGGCGUUGGAGAUGGAGCUCCUCCCACCGGGGGUUCGGGAACCAAUCCUUAGCCUGCAGAUCCUGCACAGCGACAGGUCGCUCUUCGUGGGACUCAACGACAGAGUCCUGAAGAUCCCGCUGGAGCGGUGCUCCACCUACAAAACUGAGACGCUGUGCUUGGAGGCCAGGGAUCCCUACUGUGGCUGGGACUUCCGGCAGCGGAGGUGCACCACGCUGGAGGACAGCUCCAACAUGAGCCAGUGGAAGCAGAACAUCACCGCCUGUCCGGUAAGAGGGCGAUGUGACCGACUGACAUGGUCGCCAUCAUCCAUGACUUCUUCUUAUAUCCCCCUGCGGAACCAAACCACCAAUGGCGGCUGGACGCCCUGGUCGUCGUGGGGACAGUGCAGCACGACCUGCGGCACGGGCUUCGAGCUGCGGCAGCGCUCCUGCAACAACCCUUCGCCGCGACACGGCGGCCGCGUGUGCGUGGGGCCGAGCAGGGACGAGAGGUUCUGUAAUGAAGGGGUGGCCUGUCCGCAGCCCAUCUUCUGGACGCCGUGGGGAUCGUGGACCAAGUGCAGCACCGAGUGCGGGGGAGGCGUCCACUCCAGGGUCCGCACUUGUGAGAACGGCAACAGCUGCCCAGGAUGUGCACUGGAAUACAAGGCGUGUAACCUGGAGGCGUGUCCGGAGGUCAAGAGGAACACGCCGUGGACGCCCUGGAUGCCCGUCAACGUGACCCAGGGCGGCGCUCGCCAGGAGCAGCGGAUGCGCUACAUGUGCCGGGCGCACCUGUCCGAUCCCCACGAGCUGCAGAUCGGACGCAGGAAGGUGGAGACGCGCUUCUGUCCCAACGACGGCACGGCCGCCUGCGAGACGGACAGCCUUGUCGAGGAGCUCCUGAAGAUGCCCGUGGUGAGAGCGGCCGGCUCCGGCUGGUCGUCGUGGGAGACCUGGUCCAGCUGCUCGCAGAGCUGCGCCAAGGGCUACCGCACCCGUCGGCGAUCGUGCGCCGGGCCGGAGGGAAAGAGCGCCCCCGUCGCCUGCCGGGGCUCGCCCGUCGAGUACCAGGACUGCAACGUGCAGGCCUGUCCCGUGAAAGGUGCGUGGUCCUGCUGGUCGUCCUGGUCCCUGUGCUCCGUGGGCUGCGGCGGCGGUCACUACCAGCGCACGCGCUCCUGUAACAGCCCGGCGCCCGCCAGCGGGGGGGACAUCUGCAUCGGACUGCACACCGAGGAGGCCCUCUGCAACACACACACCUGCGACGGUGGCUGGAUGGCCUGGUCGCUGUGGUCGGCCUGCGAUGAUUCGGGCUCGCAGAUGAGGAGUCGGGUGUGCGGCGCUCAGGGCAACAGCCCGUGUGUGGGCAACAGCACCCAGCGGCGAGACUGCAACGAAAUACCUGUCAUUCUCCCUGCAUCUGGUUUUGAUAAGGACCAACACUGCGGAGCGUUCACCUCCAUCCACCUGAUCGCCACCGGUGUGUCCUGUUUCCUCGGGGCGGGCCUGCUGUCCUUCCUGAUCUACGUCUACUGCCAGCGCUUCCACAAGCCCUCGCAGGAGUCCGCCGUCAUCCACCCCACCACGCCCAACCACCUCAACUACAAGGGCAACACCACGCCAAAGAACGAGAAGUACACGCCCAUGGAGUUCAAGACGCUGAACAAAAACAACCUGCUGCCAGACGAACGGUCCAACUUCUACCCGACGCCGCUCCAGCAGACCAACGUGUACACCACCACCUACUACCCCACGGCGCUCGGCAAAUUCGACUACCAGCCCAACUCGUCCCCUUCGCCGUGCAGGACCUACAACAACAGCAACAACAGCAACAGCCUGAGACUCGACCAGCUCUCAACCCCCCCCACACACACACACACAUAUACACACACACACCACCACGACCACCACCCCCCACCUGCCGCCGACCCGAACGGACCCCGCCCCCUUCGCCACGGUGACAUAACUGAACCGACGUGAACUGAAACGUUUCUCAGCACCAGGGGUUCCUCUGCGCCCCCCAACCCCCCCCCCCUCGCUCCCGCAGUCCCUUCUGCAUGGUAGGCUUUGUGUUUUCAAGGGCAUUUCUGGAACUUUCCAUCAGGAGAUGUGAGUUUGGACAACGAUGCCCACGUCCCGCCGCAGUCGGGACCAGCUCGGGCGGGGGGAGGGGGGCGGGGCGUGUUAUCGUAACGGGGCCUGACUUGACACAGCAAGAGUCAAUCCAGAGCUCCGUCUCCGUGAGAGGAUCCAGCGGGGAGAGUUUCGGACAGACGGUUAUGAGCGGAGCGCACAUCAGCACAGGUGCUGAGCGGAGCCUCCGCAAUCACAGAGCGGAACAUGAAUAAAGAAAUUCCAUUUCUCUGGAUCUGGCUCA
ensembl:lncRNA